GAGCGCAGGCGCCGCUGGGUGCGCCCCCUCCCGGGGGGCCCGGGAGCACUGGGGAGCUCGGGCUGGUGACCCCGGCGUCCGUCACGCGAUGUGGGUCCCUUGCGCACCCACCCGCAGUGUCCGUAGUGCUCUGUGCCGCCCAGCCGGGGCUCAGGCUGGGCGUCCGGCUUGCACCAAGUGCAUGAGGCGCACACGCAUUUGAGUCACUGGCUGCCACUUCUUCUCUCUUUUACUUAGUUCUUUUGCAGGGGCUCAGUGGAUUCUCCUUACUUUGGCGUACAUAGUCGUGAUUUCUUGGGGAUUUCCUGGUAACUGUUUAUUCCUCAGAUCCCAUCUGUAAAACAGGGGAAAGCAGGUCCUCUUUCCUAGUUUCACAGGGCUUUGCCAAGAUCAGGAUCAAGAUGGGGUGGCGCAUGCCUGUAAUCCCAGCACUGGGGAGACUGAGGCAGAAUAGCUAUGAGUGCGAGACCUGUCUGAACGACAAAGCCUGAACAACAUAGGACGCUCAGUCAUAAACAAAACAAAGCAAAAACAAACAAAAACAUAAUAUUACUUUAAUGCUUAACGUUAAGGAUGUGGUGCUGAUCCCAGCAUUCGGGAGGUUGGAGCAGGAGGAUCAUGAGUUUAAGGCCAGCCUGGGCUGCAAAGUGAAACCAUGCUGACCCUGCUAAGCCUCCCAAAAGAUCAAGAUUCUUUGAGUGCAGUGGGCGUGGUUUGAAAUCUUGGCUCCACCCCUUACUAGCUGUGUAACUUUGAGAAAGCAACUUAGCUUCUGGGAAUUAGUUUCUGCUUGGUCAGCUGUGAAGUAAAUGAUAGCUGACUCUUCUUGGUAUAAGAGAUGAAUCUGAUGCUGCAGGGAAGGUGCUUACCUUGGGCCAGUUCAUCUCGUAAAGGAGGCAAGCGUGAGUAAAGAUGGCUGAUGGUAACAAGGAUACAUAAAAUUCAAGCACCAGAAGGUUUGCAGCCAGAUGCCCGGUUGUUAUCCUGAUGACACUCCUGUAGGGCAGCUGGAGGACACAGCUUGAAUAAAUAAACCCAUUUUCAGCUUCUAUCGUCCAGAGACCACGUCCCUGGGUAGUUCAUGUGUGUCUCAUCAUAGGUCCGUGGAAGACACUUGAAUAAACAAGUGGAUGAUAAGGGCGCCCCGUGGAGUCAGCAGAAUGGGAGGUGUGGGUGACCCUCAAAGAGUGAUCAGAGAGCCCUUUUCUGGAGUGAUCCAGGGCAGAAUUCCGGAAGGCUGUGGCCUGAGAGCUGAGCUUGCGAGGACACUAGCUAAGUUCAGCAGGCUUCUCUUUGGCUUCUCGAUUAUGGGGAGUUUCCAAGUUGCUAGGAUAGAGGAAGAGAAGGCCCCUAAGUUAUCUUGGCUGAUUGGAUCAGUCCCUAGAAAUACACUCAUUCCAUCCUGAGCAGCAUGGAAAGUUGUAAACUGGGGCCACUGCAGUAGCUCUUGUAGUUUUUUUUUUGUUGUUGUUGUUGGCCUGUUUAUCCCUCUUUUUAGGAUAUUUUCCCUUCGGAGAAUCACUGACUGUCGGCACUAUAUGCUAGGUGGAGUUGGCCCCUUUUUUCUAGCUCCCAGAAUGCAUAUAGAGCUCCAAUUUAGCCAAUCAGGACAUGCCUCAGGAACCAUGAUUGGCUUAGAGGUCGUCACGUGACAUUACACCAGACCAAUGAAAUUCAACUUUGUUACAUUUACAAGUACACUUGGAGAAGAAAAUUCUCUGCAGAUUUUAAAGAGGGGACUUGCUAAAUUGUCCCGGCUGGCCUUGAACUGGAGAUCCUCCUGCCUCAGCCUCCCAAGUAGCUGAGAUUACAGCCGAUCUUGUUCACAAGCUGGAAACACAGAAAUGAACAAUGCAGACAAGGUCUCCUCCCUCUUCCAUGAGUGGACCCUAGUGAUGAGUCAUCUGAGCGCUAGAAAGGCUGUCUUUUUCAUCAAGAAAGAUCUUACUACCUCCAAAGUUUCUCCGUAGUUCAGGUUGGCUUUGAGUGGACUAUCUUAACUCAGGUUGGCCUCAAACUCACAGCGAUCCUCCUGCCUCAGCCUCCUGAGAGCUGGCGUAUCAGGCCUGCACCACCAUGCCUGGCUCCACAUUUGAAUUUUAAAAGUCCCCUCCUCCCAGCAAAAGUGAUUCUAAUUUACCGUUUUGUAAAUAAGGAAAGUAAGGCCUAGACAAAGGAAGUCCACACUUUUGGGCCCUGGAUUCCAGCUCAGGGCUGGCUGGGAUCCUGGCUAGCUGGAGAAACGCUGGCCUCUGCAAUAGCUCUGGUCCCUGCAAGAAGUAGGAGACUGCAGCCCGGCUCCCACCCCCACUCUCACCCCACAAGUCACUUCCAAGGGUGGAGAAGCCUUUGAAGUCAGCGGUGACGCCGCCGUGGAGGGGUGGAGGGCGAAGGCUGCGAGUGUGGUGGAAGAGGUGAACACGGGGCCAGCCGAUAAGCAGCCCAAACAACCGCGAGCGUCCUCCGGGCUGCAGCAGGAGGAGUUUCCGACGCCGGGUCCUCGCCUGGCUUUUGCUUAGUCUAGUUUUUAGGGCUAUGAGAAAUGAUGCCCCCCGAAUUCAGCUAAACCGGAACAGAAAAGAGUUUGAGCCCACAGUGGUGCACACGCUUUCCCCAGCAUGAGUUCCUAGAUUUCUCGCUUGGUGGCUGCUUGCUCUGGCUUCCUGUUCCUCUGUCUCUGCACAUUGAAUAAAUCCACCUGGGCCCCGGAGCUCUGGCAGCUGCGUUUUGUGUGAACAGCUCUUCUCCCUGGAGCGGGUAUAGCUCACAUUGCAGCGCUGUGACCCCUCCUGGAAAAAUCAGACUUACGGAGUAAAUGAAUUAAACCAUGCACACUGCUAUCUUUACAUAGAGAAGACCAAUUAUUUCUAUUACUAAAAAAUACCUAUUGUUUUUCCGUAGAGUCUGUCCAGAAGUGCACCCCGAGACAAGUAUCUGGGAGUCUUGAACCUUUGUUUCCUUUUGUUUUGCUUAGGGGAGUGACCCUACUAAGCACCAUUCAGGGAGCAGAGAAAUUUCAGGGGGAGGCAGCCAGGACCAGAUGUGUCCACGAGCAGCUUCCUGCUGUGGAAAACUGAGGUUCAGUCCUGUCAAGGAGCUCUGAGCUGUGAUAUGGAGGUGCUGGGGAGUUUCUUGCUUCAUCCAAGGGAUAAGAAGCUGGAUACAUCUCCUCCUGCCUUAGCCAAUCACUGUCUGUGAUUUCAGCAGGGUUUGCUCCACAGGACUUCUGGUCUACCCCCAAGAGCUGGGGCGGGUGAAGCUCUGGAAUGAAGGGUUGUGAUGCUGUCACUAGGAAAUCAUUGGUAUGCACAGGGAGGGUGUGAGCUGAGAGCACAGGGGUCACUCCCAAUGGACACUAUGGCAUCCAUGGAUUCACACUUACUUGUUUUGUUUCUGAGUGCAAUUAUGCAUGUAAAAUCUUGUAUUUCAUUAUAAAUUAGGAAUAAGGCACAUGUAUUAAUAGAAGUAUUUACAUAAAUGUUCUGGGCUUCUAGAUGAGUGGCUGGGAUGAGAUGUAUUUCAUUGUAGAUUAAAUAAAUAUGUGCAAAUGUGACUGCAGAAAUAAAGGAAAUGUGAAA